GGACUACUAGGGUUUCUAAUCCUGUUUGCUCCCCACGCUUUCGCGCCUCAGCGUCAAUUACAGGCCAGAUGGCCGCCUUCGCCACCGGUGUUCUUCCCAAUAUCUACGAAUUUCACCUCUACACUGGGAAUUCCGCCAUCCUCUCCUGCAUUCCAGCGCCGCAGUAUCAAACGCAAUUCCCAGGUUGAGCCCGGGGAUUUCACGCCUGACUUACAGCACAGCCUACGCGCCCUUUACGCCCAGUAAUUCCGAACAACGCUAGCCCCCUUCGUAUUACCGCGGCUGCUGGCAC
rnacentral:rRNA from 1 species